CCAACCCUAAGAAACGUUGUAAGGCUUUAAGGUCAUUGGGCGGAGGAUACUGGGUGAUGACCUGGGUCUUUGCUGGAUCUACCUCAACUCCUUUUGCUGAGACUGUGUCCAAGGAAUGUCAACUGCUGCUUGAAGAAGUGACAUUUUUUCAUAUUCAUGGACCCUUUCCAUCAGUCUCUGGAAGGACAUUUGAGGUCAACUUUAUUAACUCUUCUUGAUUAUCGGAGUCCCAGCAUGGAGCAACUUCAGGGAUCGGAGUAAUAAGUGGUGGUUCCCAGGUUGGAGGGUUUCAGCAUCGUUAAAGAAGUCUAGGCCAGCUAUCAGGGGAAAAGCGAGGCACCAAGAGAAGAGAUGUCAGUAAGUGAGGUUGCGCAAUCGAUAACCCAGCCAUGUCUUUGGAGUUCCCCUCAAACAGCCUGCCACCCUGGGGUUAAUGUUGUUGAGAAUGCGGCUCACCAUCUCGUCCUCCAACAUGGCAGGUUUCCACUUAAGGCAGAGGGACCGGUAAUCAUAUGCAAAAUCUCUCAGGUGUUGACCUGGCUGUUGGACCAGAGACCUCAGCUUAUCUUCCACCUCGCUGAGAGCAGGUCCUCUCAGGACCAUGCUCAAGGUUCCGAUGAGCUCCCCACUAGGAAAGGGCCUGAUAUCCAAGUAGUUUUCACACUGUUCAAUGAAGUUGAGCACAUCCAAAGUCUCAUAAGAGGCACCAAAGGUGGGGAACUCCAGGCGUAUGGGGGGCUGUGUGCAGAAAGACAAUGUACUGGGAAUAACUGGAGGAUUAAGUGCACUGGUUAUAGAAGUAGAUACAGGGUAUACUUUAUAUGUUGCAUUGGCAGAUCUUGGUAGUGGUACUUUAACUCUAGGGGUCGGAAUUGGGGUUAUGGGAACAUGAACAGAGGAAAUGGAGUUAGCAGGAAGUAAUAUUGA
ensembl:lncRNA